UUGGAGGGCAAGUCUGGUGCCAGCAGCCGCGGUAAUUCCAGCUCCAAUAGCGUAUAUUAAAGUUGUUGCAGUUAAAAAGCUCGUAGUUGAAUUUCGGGGUUAGUAGGUUGGUCAUGCCUCUGGUAUGUACUGGUCUCACUGAUUCCUCCUUCCUUAUGAACCGUAAUGCCAUUAAUUUGGUGUUGCGGGGAAUUUGGACUGUUACUUUGAAAAAUUAGAGUGUUUAAAGCAAGCUAACGCUUGAAUACAUUAGCAUGGAAUAAUGAAAUAGGACG
rnacentral:rRNA from 1 species